GCUUAAAUAGGUUAAGUUAAUAAAACCGUAGCAUUGUGAUCGCUAAAAUUAUAAUAUAUUUGGGCU
rnacentral:tRNA from 1 species